rnacentral:rRNA from 1 species
AUGGAAAAUUGGACAUGGAAGCGGGAACUGAUCCGGUCUGUGUUUGUUGCACCUGAUGCUAAUGCCAUCUUAAAUAUCCCACUGCGUGCGGGCGGUGGGGAUGAUUUCUUAGCUUGGGCUCAUGAAAGGAGUGGAAUCUACUCUGUUAAAUCUGCGUAUCGUUCUCUGGUGACUCGCAAAGAUCAUCUAGCUCUGGAGGAAGGGACGAUUACAAACACCUCACAGACUGAAGAACAGAUGUGGAAGUUACUCUGGAAGCUCAAGGUUUUGCCAAAGGUGCGGGUCUUC